UUAAACCAAAGUCUGGGUUUUUUACAGGUCCCUGAAUGAUGUGACUUUAUCAUUGUUAAUGGAUCAAGCCCAUGACUCCAGAUUUCGGCUUCUUAAAUGUCAAAAUAGAGUGAUUAAGUUGAGUACAAAUCCUUUCCCAGCACCAUACUUGAAGCCAUGUGAAAUAGGAUUGGAAGCAAAAAGGGUCAAGUUGACCCCUGAUAGCAAGAAAGAGGAAAGCUUUGUUUGUGAACACCCAUCUAAGAAAGAGUGUGUACAGAUAAUUACUGCUGUAACAUCUCUUUCACCACUUUUAGCAUUCAGUAAAUUUUGUUGCACUGUACUGCUACACAUUAUGGAGAGAGAGAGUGGUAACUGUCCCAAAGAUCGUUAUGUUGUAUGUGGCAGAGUGUUUUUAAGUCUAGAAGAUCUUUCAACUGGGAAGUACCUACUGACGUUUCCAAAGAAGAAACCUAUAGAGCACAUGGAAGAUCUUUUUGCACUCCUCGCAGCAUUCCACAAAUCUUGUUUUCAAAUCACGUCACCUGGCUAUGCCCUGAAUUCAAUGAAGGUGUGGCUCUUAGAACAUAUGAAAUGUGAAAUAAUCAAAGAAUUUCCAGAAGUGUACUUUUGUGAAAGGCCGGGAAGUUUCUAUGGGACACUCUUCACCUGGAAACAGAGAACACCAUUUGAAGGGAUUUUAAUAAUCUAUUCCAGGAAUCAAACAGUUAUGUUCCAGUGCCUUCAUAAUCUCAUCAGAAUUCUCCCUAUAAACUGUUUCCUCAAAAAUCUAAAAUCAGGAAGUGAGAAUUUCCUAAUUGAUAAUAUGGCAUUUACGUUGGAGAAGGAACUAGUCACCCUUAGUUCUGUUUCUUCUGCCAUAGCUAAACAUGAAAGCAAUUUUAUGCAGAGGUGUGAAGUGAGCAAAGGAAAGAGUAGUGUCGUCGUGGGUGCUUUAUCAGACAGAAGGGAAAACAUCCAUCCCUACAGAAAAGAACUUCAGAGAGAAAAGAAGAAAAUGUUGCAAACGAACCUAAAAGUGAGUGGUACCCUUUACAGGGAAAUAACUUUAAAAGUAGCUGAGGUUCAGUUGAAAUCAGACUUCGCUGCACAGAAACUGAGUAAUUUAUAAUUAUAAUUUCAAUUUGAUCAUAUUUUAAAAUAUGUUUUCA
rnacentral:lncRNA from 1 species